GUGGGGAAUUUUGGACAAUGGGCGAAAGCCUGAUCCAGCCAUGCCGCGUGCAGGAUGAAGGCCUUCGGGUUGUAAACUGCUUUUGUACGGAACGAAAAGACUCCUUCUAAUAAAGGGGGUCCAUGACGGUACCGUAAGAAUAAGCACCGGCUAACUACGUGCCAGCAGCCGCGGUAAUACGUAGGGUGCAAGCGUUAAUCGGAAUUACUGGGCGUAAAGCGUGCGCAGGCGGUUAUAUAAGACAGAUGUGAAAUCCCCGGGCUCAACCUGGGAACUGCAUUUGUGACUGUAUAGCUAGAGUACGGUAGAGGGGGAUGGAAUUCCGCGUGUAGCAGUGAAAUGCGUAGAUAUGCGGAGGAACACCGAUGGCGAAGGCAAUCCCCUGGACCUGUACUGACGCUCAUGCACGAAAGCGUGGGGAGCAAACAGGAUUAGAUACCUGUGUAGUCC
rnacentral:rRNA from 1 species